CCUACGGGUGGCCGCAGUGAGGAAUAUUGGUCAAUGGGCGUAAUCCUGAACCAGCCAAGUCGCGUGCGUGAUGACGGUUCUAUGAAUUGUAAACCUCUUUUGUACCGGAGUAAAGUGCCUUACUUGUCCCGUUUUGUAUGUACCUUAUGAAUAAGGAUCGGCUAACUCCGUGCCCGCAGCCGCGGGAAUACGGAGGAUCCGAGCGUUAUCCGGAUUUAUUGGGUUUAAAGGGUGCGUAGGGUGCUUUUUAAGUCAGCGGUGAAAUACUGUGGCUAAACAAGAGGGGUGCCGUUAAUACUGUAGGACUAGAGUAUGUAUGAGGCAGGCGGAAUGUGUGGUGUAGCGGGGAAAUGCCUAGAUAUUACACAGAACACCGAUUGCGAAGGCAGCCUGCUAGGCCAGGACUGACGCUGAUGCACGAAAGCGUGGGGAUCAAACAGGAUUAGAUACCCCAGUAGUC
rnacentral:rRNA from 1 species